rnacentral:tRNA from 1 species
UUUUUGGCGGCGGGAUAGAACCGGGGACCUUUGGGUCCCGAGCAGAACAUCCUGACCAUUAGACAAAA